UGGGGAAUAUUGGACAAUGGGCGCAAGCCUGAUCCAGCCAUGCCGCGUGAGUGACGAAGGCCUUAGGGUUGUAAAGCUCUUUUGGCGGGGACGAUAAUGACGGUACCCGCAGAAUAAGCCCCGGCUAACUUCGUGCCAGCAGCCGCGGUAAUACGAAGGGGGCUAGCGUUGUUCGGAAUCACUGGGCGUAAAGCGCACGUAGGCGGAUUUGUAAGUCAGGGGUGAAAUCCCGGGGCUCAACCUCGGAACUGCCUUUGAUACUGCAAGUCUCGAGUUCGGGAGAGGUGAGUGGAAUUCCUAGUGUAGAGGUGAAAUUCGUAGAUAUUAGGAAGAACACCAGUGGCGAAGGCGGCUCACUGGCCCGAUACUGACGCUGAGGUGCGAAAGCGUGGGGAGCAAACAGGAUUAGAUACCCGGGUAGUCCCUGAGCGGGCUGGCAAGGCGCAU
rnacentral:rRNA from 1 species